rnacentral:sRNA from 1 species
UCGUAGUAACAUAACAGGAGCACCGACCUUUAAACGCAAAGAAUGGUUAGGCAAACCUGGUAACUUGAUACUGUUUAAAAAAUCUGGAGUGAUAACAGGAUUGUUAAGUGAAUCAGAAUCUGUAGGAUCUAUGGAAUCAGCAGAUAGAUAAAUUCUUUCCUCAGCUGAAAAAAAAAACAAAUUGAAUGUAUGUCAGUUGUAUAUUCAAUAAAAAAUAGAUUGCAUAUAAAGAUUAUAAACUUUAAACUGAAGAGUAAAAGUGCAUU